GGUAUAUCUUAUCUUUUGCAUCAGAUUUAAUGUAGUUUCUUAACCACAUGCAUGAGUUUAUACACGUGUACAGUUACCCAAGCAUUUGGAUGUUUUGAUAUUGGCUGUUGUACACCAUAAGAAAAUGAAAAUGCUGGGUAAGAUUUAAGAUGUCUUUAGUAGUUCAUAACCAGAAAAUUAGGUUGAUUAUUUAAAUAAAAUGAAGUUAUAUCCUUUGUAACUUUUGCAGCACUUAUGUUCUGAGUGUUUAAAUCUAAUGCUGCUAAAUAGGAAAAGGAUGGACUUGCCAAUGAUAUUAUUGGUGAACUUGUGCGUUCUUAAUGAUGUGAGUGACAGGUUUAAUUCUUGUUCAUCUGUUUUUUUCUUAUUAUUUAUGAUUUGGGGUUUCUCAAAUAUCAGCUGCUGC
rnacentral:misc_RNA from 1 species